GCGCAGCAGGCGAGAAUUUUUCUCAAUGGGGGAGACCCUGAAGGAGCGACGCCGCGUGGAGGAUGAAGGCUUUCGGGUUGUAAACUCCUGUCAUUUGAGAACAAGUGGCCGAACGUAACUACUUCGGCCUUGAUAGUAUCAGAAGAGGAAGGGACGGCUAACUCUGUGCCAGCAGCCGCGGUAAUACAGAGGUCUCAAGCGUUGUUCGGAUUCAUUGGGCGUAAGGGUGCGUAGGUGGCGCCGUAAGUCGGGUGUGAAAUUUCGGAGCUUAACUCCGAAACUGCAUUCGAUACUGCGGUGCUUGAGGGCUGGAGAGGAGACUGGAAUUUACGGUGUAGCAGUGAAAUGCGUAGAGAUCGUAAGGAAGACCAGUGGCGAAGGCGGGUCUCUGGACAGUUCCUGACACUGAGGCACGAAGGCCAGGGGAGCAAACGGGAUUAGAUACCCCU
rnacentral:rRNA from 1 species